rnacentral:lncRNA from 1 species
GUGAAAAUCUGCCUUCUCACCAUGAGGCUUCUAGUCCUUUCCAGCCUGCUCUGUAUCCUGCUUCUCUGCUUCUCCAUCUUCUCCACAGAAGGGAAGAGGCGUCCUGCCAAGGCCUGGUCAGGCAGGAGAACCAGGCUCUGCUGCCACCGAGUCCCUAGCCCCAACUCAACAAACCUGAAAGCCUUCACAGCAGUGAGCUGCAAUGUUGGAGGGCUUCAUCUCGGGCUGCAAGGACCCUGGGAAAGUUCCAGAACUCCACGUCCUUGUCUCAAUUGUGCCAUCAACUUUCAGAGCUAUCAUGAGCCAACCUCACCCCACAGGGCCUCAGUCGCCACCAUGUGGGCCUCUCCAGUGCAAACCACCGAGCAUUCCACCAUGACCGGUCACAGCUACAAAUCCAGAGACCAUCAAUCCUGCUAGAGUGCAGGGUGGCAAGCACCCAAGGGUGGCUGACCAAGACUGCAGAGUCUCCUCCAUCUUCAGGUCCAUUCAGCCUCCUGGCAUUUAACUACCAGCAUCCAGUGGUCCCCAAGGAAUCCCUUCCUAGCCUCCUGACAUGAGUCUGCUGGAAAGAGCAUCCAAACAAACAAGUAAUAAAUAAAUAAAUAAACUCAAUGCAGAC